CACACAAAGGGUCGGUUGGAAACCUAGGGUAACUGUCAUUUCUGUGAAGCUUGGCUUGUGCUCUGGACGCAUACUUGGAUAUAUCUGAAGUUAAUCACCUUUGCUCUUAUCUACAGGUUUUGAAAUGGUUAAGAGUGCUGUAGCAGAAAAGGCCUUCUAUGGGAAGGGCACGCCGGAGACUUUCAUGACUGACAACUGCGAUGCCAUGAGGAAAGCCCUAGCAGCAACCUGGCCUGGAGCUCGACAGUUCCUCUGCAUUUUUCAUUUUCUACAACAAGUAUGGAGGUGGCUAUUGGACUCGAGACACGAAAUCAAGAAAGAAGAUCGCCAGGAACUUAUGACUAUAGUGAAAAGCCUCGUAUAUUCAGCAACGAAGAACGAUUUAUUCACGUCAUGGGGAAAAUUCAAGGCUAAUCCUCUUUCGGAGAAGUAUCCUAACUUUAGAAGCUAUCUAGGCUCACUGAUGGAAAGGAGUGACGAGUGGGCGAUAACGUUCAGGGCAGGUGCGGUGCUACGUGGACAUCACACCAACAACUUCUGUGAGGCAACAAUGUGCAUCAUUAAGGAAGUCGUUCUUAAUAGAUGCAAGGCAUACAACGCAACGCAGCUGAUCAUUUUCAUGGCCGAAAUCUUUGACAGCUACAUGAAGAAGAGGCUGGUGGACGUUGCGCUUGGCAGACGGAGAGUGAAAUCAUUAAGCACGGCUACACUGCCUCUAGAAAUGGUUACUUUCCAAGGUAACGGAAAGUACAGAGUCCAGAGCCAGUCUACUCCAUCCCUUCAGUACGACGUAGAUCUUGUGACUGGAUUUUGUGAGUGUACUGCAGGGGAAAAUGGUUCCUUGUGUAAACAUCAAGCUGCCUGUGCAGACUACAGCAUGACGGUCCUGCCCCAAGUCUUCACUGCCACUACUGAAAACAGACGGUGGCUGGCGUCAGUGGCAGUAGGCGACGAGAAAG